ensembl:lncRNA novel transcript
GGGCACAAGCAGAUCCAGAACGCCAUGGCUACCAAACAUGACCUGCCGCAAAGCCUGUCUAAGAACAUUUUUGGCAGCUGGAAAUGUUCCUGCCUACCAGUCUGUCACAGACGGCAUGUGCCAUGGGCUACCAGCACUGAGCAACUCUCUCAGGAAGAGCAUUUUUGCCUCACAGCUCAGCCUGCCCCAGCCACUGGAUCCACGGAGCCUCCAGGCAUUUGAGCUGUUUCCUUGGAGAGCAUUUCUGGAAGAUGGAGGACCAUUCCCAGUUAUGAGUAACAGCCCAGAUACCCUAGAAUAUAAUAUGCAGCUGUGCCUCUGUGGGCUGAGUGACCGUGACCGCAAGGUGGCUCAUGGAGAACUGGUGGGUGUGCAACUGCUACUGGAAGAUGUUCUGAGUAGCUAUCAUGUGACCAUGGAGGCCCCCCAAAGACAGCAAGCCACACUGGGCAAAAAUACACAGCCAGAUUGGUCCAAAGUGCCAGGAUUCAGAAGUCAGUUCCGAAGCAGCCCAAAGACCUCUGAGCUGCUGGAGGGCCUGUGCGAUGCGGUGAUGUCCUUUGCUUUGCUGAGAUCAUUUCUGAUACUGUGGAAGCAGCUGGAAGUGCUAAAGGAGCACUGGGGCCGACUCAAGCUGCAAGGCCAGGAUAUCAACUCUGUCUCUCUCCACAAACGGUUUUCAGAGCUCUAUGAAACUGACGUUCUCUACCCCAGCAUGAAAGCUAUAGCCAGGCAGAUGGGGAAAGAAGAUGAAUUUGAAGGAUUUAUAGUAAAUAAUCAGUCUGUUCUUCCCCCCAGUGGAGCCUCAGAAGUUGAAAUAAAAACUCACCAAGUAUGCAGGAUAUAUUUUAAAUUUGCCUUUGAAAAUGUCCUUUAUGGCAUUAGCAUGUAAAACUACAGGCAUACCCAAAUGGUAUUUUUUCCAAGAAGCUGAGUGUAAAUUGCAGGGUUGUAAAUCAUUGAAUGGGCUGGAGGGAGGGCAGGACUAAGUAUUUAAAGCCAUGUGGUGCUUCGAUGAAGCAAAUUACUACCCUUAAUGUCCCUGUUCUAUAAGUCUGGAUUUUUAUCAUUUUGAUUUUCCUCAAAUUGAUGUGUACCUUCAUAAGAAUGAUCAUAGAAAACAUAACCACUAUCUUAAGCAUAAAAUUUAGCAUGCAAGUAUUCACAUGGAAAUGAAAUAUUUGUAAAAGCUCCCUGUAAUUGUUUUUCUGAGAAUAAGAAAAUGCCCAUUUGGUAUGUGUAAGAUGAUCUGUGUGGAGAA